rnacentral:rRNA from 1 species
CCUACGGGAGACAGCAGUAGGGAAUUUUCGUCAAUGGGCGCAAGCCUGAACGAGCAAUGCCGCGUGAACGAGGAAGGUCUUCGGAUCGUAAAGUUCUGUUGAAGGGGAAAAAGAGCGGAGAGAGGAAAUGGUCUCCGAUUGAUAUUACCCUUCGAGGAAGUCACGGCUAACUACGUGCCAGCAGCCGCGGUAAUACGUAGGUGGCGAGCGUUAUCCGGAAUGAUUGGGCGUAAAGGGUGCGUAGGCGGGCUGCUAAGUCUGGAGUGAAAGGUACCGGCUCAACCGGUACAGGCUCUGGAAACUGGCGGGCUAGAGAGGAGGAGAGGGCGGUGGAACUCCAUGUGUAGCGGUAAAAUGCGUAGAUAUAUGGAAGAACACCAGUGGCGAAGGCGGCCGCCUGGCCUGUUGACUGACGCUGAGGCACGAAAGCGUGGGGAGCAAAUAGGAUUAGAUACCCCUGUAGUC